UACGGAGGGUGCAAGCGUUAUCCGGAUUCACUGGGUUUAAAGGGUGCGUAGGCGGAUUUCCAAGUCAGAGGUGAAAGCCCGGGGCUCAACUCCGGAAUUGCCUUUGAUACUGGUUGUCUUGAAUGUAGUUGAGGUAGGCGGAAUGAGUCGUGUAGCGGUGAAAUGCAUAGAUAUGACUCAGAACACCGAUUGCGAAGGCAGCUUACUAAACUAUUAUUGACGCUGAGGCACGAAAGCGUAGGUAGCGAACAGG
rnacentral:misc_RNA from 1 species